AACCUCAACUGGAAUUCGAAUCCAGAUCUUGACGCUUAGAAGGCGUUUGCUCUAGUCCAUUAAGCUAUUGAGGC
rnacentral:tRNA from 1 species